UGGGCGGUUAGCUCAGCUGGUUAGAGCACCUGCUUUACACGCAGGGGGUCAUCGGUUCGAAUCCGAUACCGCCCAUCC
rnacentral:tRNA from 1 species